GUGUGUGUGUGUGUGUGUGUGCAGUACAUGCGAGACACCUUGGAGAUGAAUGGCAUUUCACUGCUAUGACAAAUUUUUGGUGAAUAAAGAACAAAACCAAAAUUGAUCGCCAGCGCUAACCGACUCCAGAUGUGUUCAUGAGAUAGUUUGGGUCAUUAGUGAGAAAAGAAAAUAGAGGCAAACGUGAGGGAGGCGAGAAAGCAGAAGGGGCUGAGGGUUGGUUCUCUGCAAUGACCUACUUCCCACAUCUGUCAUCUCAUUUUGCCCGUUUUGCUGUGUUGCCGCAACGUAAAUACAAUUUGCAAGUUCCAUUCACGAGGAAACAGGUCAGUGUUUCCAUGCAUUUACACACUGAAAACCACCUGGCCUUUUGCUCAUUUGCAGAAGUCAGAAAUGUCGGGUUCGGUCCCGAUGUACGGCUGUAGUUAGCCUGAAAAAACAUUUUUGGGCUGAGGUGUGCAUGCUGAUAACGUCUUAUUGUUUAUUUCCCAAUGAGCAUGUGAUCACCACUUGAAGAACGUGUCUAAAAUAUUGUGAUGGAAAAGGCGAUGCUUCUUCCAUAUGUGAGAGCACACAACCAACGAUCCUACUCCUCGAGGAGACAGGAAGUUUGAACCUGAAAUGAAUAUGAAUGUGGUUCCUUGAUGUAGUGACCCUGUGGAUGUUCUUGACUCGGAGCGUGCAGGUUCCUGUUUAAUGAGCACCAGGCAGGUUGAAGGGGGAAAAAAACACAGCUGGAGCAGGAGGAAUGGGAAGAAAAUGUGCUGUGAGAAAGUUUCCGACUCUUGGCCAUCCCUGAGGACUCUGAUGCGCCUUCUCUUUGGUAAAGUUACAGGUGCAUUUCGAGCUCAUGUGUCAUGCUAUAUUCAUAAUUCUGAUCCCAAACCAGCACCAAAGCUACAUUUUAGUAUUGGGGCGACGAACAGAACAAUUAAAUGUUCUUCCACUAGAUGGCAGAUGAUUCGAUUUCAGUACCUUGAGAUACAAGUGCCUUGACCAGGAACAUAGCAGUUGCUUGGGCUUUUUUUUUUGUCUUGACGUACGAGUGCACUGCAAACCCUACCACUAGGUGGCGGCAGCAAACUUCACAAUAUUUAGCCACGAUCAAUUCACAUUGGCAGUGGAAGGACAAUAUCAUUUGACAGUUGUUUUUAAAGUGCCCAAUAAUUUAAAUUGAGUUGAUCUGAUGGCGCAAAUGCACCAUUAAGCUAGUUUGCCAACUGCAAAUAAACCCCACGAACUUUGAAGGACAAA